rnacentral:rRNA from 1 species
CACGUAGGGUGCGAGCGUUGUCCGGAAUUAUUGGGCGUAAAGAGCUCGUAGGCGGUGUGUCGCGUCGGCCGUGAAAACCUGCAGCUUAACUGUGGGCUUGCGGUCGAUACGGGCAUCACUGGAGUUCGGCAGGGGAGACUGGAAUUCCUGGUGUAGCGGUGAAAUGCGCAGAUAUCAGGAGGAACACCGGUGGCGAAGGCGGGUCUCUGGGCCGAUAUUGACGCUGAGGAGCGAAAGCCAGGGGAGCAAACGGG